AGGGAUCAUUACUGAGUUACCGCUCUAUAACCCUUUGUGAACAUACCUACAACUGUUGCUUCGGCGGGUAGGCCGUCCCCUGAAAAGGACGCCUCCCGGCCCGGACCGGACCCCCCGCGGGACCGGACCCGGCGCCCGCCGGAGGAUAACCAAACUCUAUCGUAACGACGUUUCUUCUGAGUGGCAUAAGCAAAAUAAUCAAAACUUUUAACAACGGAUCUCUUGGUUCUGGCAUCGAUGAAGAACGCAGCGAAAUGCGAUAAGUAAUGUGAAUUGCAGAAUUCAGUGAAUCAUCGAAUCUUUGAACGCACAUUGCGCCCGCCAGCAUUCUGGCGGGCAUGCCUGUUCGAGCGUCAUUUCAACCCUCAAGCUCUGCUUGGUGUUGGGGCUCUACGGUCGACGUAGGCCCUCAAAGGUAGUGGCGGACCCUCCCGGAGCCUCCUUUGCGUAGUAACAUUUCGUCUCGCACUGGGAUCCGGAGGGACUCUUGCCGUAAAACCCCCCAAUUUUCCAAAGGUUGACCUCGGAUCAGGUAGGAAUACCCGCUGAACUUAA
rnacentral:rRNA from 1 species